rnacentral:rRNA from 1 species
UACGAAGGUGGCAAGCGUUGUUCGGAUUUACUGGGCUUACAGGGCGCGUCGGCGGUUGGAUAAGCCCUCCGUGAAAUCUCCAGGCUUAACCUGGAAAGUGCAGAGGGGACUGUUCAGCUAGAGGAUGGGAGAGGAGCGCGGAAUUCCCGGUGUAGCGGUGAAAUGCGUAGAGAUCGGGAGGAAGGCCGGUGGCGAAGGCGGCGCUCUGGAACAUUUCUGACGCUGAGGCUCGAAAGCGUGGGGAGCAAACAGG